CAGCAUCAUGCAUUGCUUUGAAAACAUCGGAAGCAAAACUGGGGCUGUCGACCCUCAGAAGUGCCCUAGUGCCAGAGACCUGACUGGUUUGGGAGUCAGGCUGCCUCCUUCCACAAUAUCAGCUUAAGAAUGUGCUGAGACAUGCAAAGUUUCCCCAGAGACCCAACAAGUUUCUCCCUGCUUCCCCGGGUCAUCCUUUGGAGCAUGGACUCGGAGUUGGUCAAGGAAGAAGGUUGUGAAGAACAUACCAUUGGAGCUGGUGAUUGGGAGAUGAUGGAUGACCUUGGCAAGAGGAGACAUUGGGGACAAUGGAAGGGAGCCUGUUGGGGGAAUACUGGGAGGCAGCAAGUGAAGAAGAGGAGACUGAGACUGAGAGGGAAUUCUCCUCUUCCUUUACAGGCAACGAGAAGGAGAACACAAUAGCUUGAGAAGGUGGCAGCAUAGGACAUUUGUUUUUAGACAAGAAUAGAUCUCAGUGGGUUUGUAGGCAGCAAGAGGGGAUGCAGAAGAGGUGGAGGGAAAAAUAAAAGUCAAGCAAGAUUAGUCAAUAAAACAAAUUUUCAAAGGGGUGGGAGGGAAUGGAGACCAGAAUCCAGGUGGAUUUGGCAGUGACACAGUGAUAGAGGCAAGCCCAGAACGCAGGACUCCUUCCCAGCUCAGGGGUUUCUCCUGCUACUUACUAAAAAGGAGCUGAGCAGAGAACAGCAGGGGUUAAGCCCUCAAAUGAAAGCCCAAGAGUCCCAAACAACCCUCAGCAUCCUACCUUUUUCUAUCCUUUCCCCCAGCCCCAGCUAACUCCCACCCCCCAACACACUCAUUGCUGAGGUUUUCUCUUACCUUCUCUUGCUCUCCAGGGUCUCACUCUACCUUCCAUCCAUUCUCACCCUCUUUACACUAUCAGUCUCUUUUCACCCAAUUCUCUGACUCCUUCCUCUUCUCUUGAACCUUUCUUUUUGUCUUAAUUUCACCCUUUCCACAAAUCCUCCAUGCAGUAGAAUAACCCCCCAACAAGAUAAAUAACCAGUGAAAUGUACUUCAAGUUCCCAAGCCUGGAAUUCAGGGGUCUAUUAUGAUCCCUGCCCAUUCUAGCCUUCCAAAGUAUUUUCCUCAAAUACCUCCUACAGGACACAUUUCCUAUUUCUCAGUAAAAUUAUCUCAUUUUUGCUUUAUAAAUAUUCAUAUAUGCAUAUCUUUUAUAGAAACUUUCCCCAAAGAAUGUCAGCUCCUUGAAAUCAAGGGUUGUUGCACUGCCUUUAUGUUCCCAGAAGGAAACACAGUGCCUGGUAUACUUUAGGAGUUUAAUAAAUACUUUGUGAUUGACUAGUGCUUUGUGCUUUUAAUCACAAUGACUUCUGCCUAGAAUGCCUUUACUCCCAUUGAGUCUGUCAAUAUUCCAUCCUUCUAGGUUUGGCUUAAAUUCCACUAGGUAAUCCAAGAAACCUCUGACUCCUUUUCUAGCCAGAUGGGAUGUCUACUCUCUCUGCUUCCUUUGGGCUUUGUUUAUAUUCAUGUGGUAUUGAGGAAUAAAUGGAUGUGCGCUUAUUAAGUGCUUGCUGUAUGUCAAACCCUGGGCUAAAUGCUAGAGUUACAAAUCGAAAUAGACACAGUCCCUUUUCUCAAAGAACUUACACUGCAAAUUGGGGGAGAUAAUACCUCAAAGGAAGUUCAGCUGUUGGACAGAUGGGAAACCUUGAAAGUCUUAAGAGUGCUGAUUGAAGGCAGAUUGCUAAGUCCAGGGGACUUUAGGAGAUCAGUUGGUAGUAUCAGGGACCUGGAGAACAUAAGGAGAGAGCAGCUGGCCAGGCCAGAUGAUUUUCCAUGUGACCAGAAGGAAUAAGUUGUUGAUUCCCAGGCCUGGUGACGGUGGGUUCUGGGAUGGCUCAGGGCUGACGGAGAAGAUGAAGAUGGGAGGCAAGGGGAUGUCUUCCUAGCCGUAAUGAUUUGUAAUCUCUGAUCUGGAAGCCCCUCUGCACAGCUUCUCUGAGUUUGCAUCUCCCUUAGCAAAUAAUCUGGUCCCUUGCCUUCAGUAAGAGUUCAGUAAAUAUUUAGUGACUGUCCACACAGACACUGUAAACUGCCUGUCUGGAGAAUUGCUUCACUAAGGGCUUUGUUAAUCCUGUUACUUUGCCUUUCAGGUUAGGGUCAAGGUAUCACCCUUCAGUUGGGACAGGAUUAUCAGUCCACAGGCUUGGCCAGGGUUCAUGGCCACCAGCUUGAUCUCAGAGCUGCUCAGCCCUUCACUAUGGCCCUGAGGCUUUUUCUUUGGCUACUUUUAAAAUUUCACCGACUAUUAAAUCCCAAUAUAAGGCAAGAAGCCUUCUUGGACUGCUUGGUCCCUGAGCUGGUUGGGCUCUGCAGUCUGACAUUUCCAUCUCAUCCAUAAAAAUACCACAUCUCGGGUCCCCCAAAUCAGCACCCACUCUCCUUGUUCUGUUGCCAUACACUCCAGGUCCUCAUUAGAAUACUUUUUUUAGCAUUUGUUUACAAACUCAAACCGUGUCUCAAACCAAGCUUGUACACCUGCUAUUUCUUUUGACUUUAUUGCUCCUGAGGGUGGUACCCACCAUUCACUCCAGUCUCUCAGCCUUGGAAUCUGGAGAAUCCUAUGACUGUUCCCUCUCCUUUCAUAUCUAGUUAUCACGAAUUAUUGAUCACCCCUUCAUGGCCUUUCUUUGAUCUGUUCCCUCUCUCUGAUUUUGUUGCUACAAUUUUGCUCUAUUUGCGAGGUGGGAUAAAGGGAAGGAGGGAAGGCAAACCCUUAGUGCAGGAAACUCCCUGUGAAGAAUUUCCUUUGCCAAUGUAGAUGAUCUCCUGCUCAAGACUGGCUCUUUAUCCACAAGGCUUUACUACCCAGUUAUAGGCUCUUAUUAUCAUCCAGUUGGUUAUUAGUCUCUUAAAAUACUUUUUAGUAUUUUAAUACUAAAUUUAAAUAUUAAAAUGAAUACUAAAUUAAAUACUAAAUACUAUUGGUUAUUCUCUGGAUUUAGUCUCUAAAUAACCCUCUUUAGCAUUAAAAUUCUAUUUAGUAUUUUGUAGGCCUGGUGGCUAAGUGGCACCAAAGAGUGUUGGAGUCAGGAAGACCUGAAUUAGAAUUCUGUCUUAGAUACUUACUAGCUGUGUGACCCCGGACAAAUCACUUUAACUUCUACCUGCCUCAGUUUCCUCAUCUGUAAUAUGAGAAUUUUAUACAUUAUUAUAGUAUAUAACAUAUUAUUAUUAUAAGCUACCUCACAGGGUUGUGAUAAGGAUCAAACGAAAUAAGUAAACUGCUAAAUAAAUAUUAUUAUUAUUAUCAACAUCAUCAUUAAUUGAUCCAGGAAUGUGUCCAAAUGGGAAGGUUCUGUGAAUGUGUCAUCCUUGGGAACUCUCUGGGUGGGUCCUCCCCAGAAACAGAUCUCACCUCAGUAGAUUGGCACUCAGGAGUUGCCUAGUGAAGAUAGGGGCCAAGUGGUUUGUCCAGGUUGUAACACAAUUAACUGAUGCAGUGAUAAGUUCAACUGAACAAACACACAGUCAGCAUUCUGCUGGGUACUGGAGGAAGCAUGAGAAAGGUGUGGGAUGCUUAUAGUUGGGCAUCUAGGAUCGACCCUGCCUUGUGAUUCCAAGGUGUGAGCUAAGCGUGACCUCAGCCAAUCAGGAAGAUUCCUCAUACCUGGCAGGCUUUUGGUGACGAUUUGACAAUCUAGCAUUUAUUAAAUGCCUACUAUGUGCUAAGACUCUAGAGUACAAAGAAACCAGUCUCUACUGUCUAGCAGCUCCUGAUCUGUUGGGAGACAAUAUAUGCAAGCAAUAUACAUUCAGGGUAAAUUGGAGAUAAUACGAGUGAGAAGGCACUAGCAGGAAAGCAGCCUGGGGAAGGCUUUUUGCAGAUGGUAGGACUUUAGCUGAGACUUGAAGGAAGCCAGGAAACCAGGAGGUGAGAUGAGGAAGGCAAGCUUUCCAGGUAAUUCCAAGAUGGCUCUCUCACCACCCAAUUUCCUUUACCCAAAGAACGAAGGGAAUAAAAAGAACUAUCUAUUGGAAGGCUAGAAUAGAUAGUUCCAGAGAAAGUGAGACAGAUGACUUUGCACAGCCUUCCCUCACUUCAGUUCAAUCCACUUGCAGGUCAUGACAUCCCCUCUCUGAGGUUAUGGUCAUCUUCAAGAACAAAGGACAUAAUACAACAACCUCCCUCAGAAUUUUUGGAGUAUUUCUCAUAGGUAUCAUUCAUUUGGCCCUCAGCAAAUGAUGGGUAGUUACAUAGAUGAAAUGACAAAAUAAAACAAUGAAACGCAUACCUGGGUAUAGUCAAUCCUCAUGAAUUAACAAUCUUGCCCUGGAUACUGCCCUGGCUUUGAUCAGAGCUACUAUGACUGUGUAUAUUGUAGAAACUGGCUUCCCUCCUCCAUUAAGAUCCAGGAAACUCGAUCAAUACCAUUGAUCCUAUUUGUGGCUUCAAUAUUGUCUUCAUUGGGAAAAUUUUUUUUUGCUAAUCUUUUUAGGUUCCUUUAUGCUCUUCCCCUAUGUGGUCCCAGAAUCCUGGAGGUAAAAGGAAAUAAUCUAGCUCAAUCCAUAACAGAAUAGGGAUCCCUUUCACAAGUCCCAACUGGAAUUUAUAAAGCUUCUGCUAGAAGAUUUUUUUUUUUAAUAGCCUUUUAUUUACAGGAUAUAUACAUGGGUAACUUUACAGCAUUAACAAUUGCCAAACCUCUUGUUCCAAUUUUUCACCUCUUACCCCCACCCCCACCCCCUCCCCUAGAUGGCAGGAUGACCAGUAGAUGUUAAAUAUAUUAAAAUAGAACUUAGAUACACAAUAAGUAUACAUGACCAAAACAUUAUUUUGCUGUACAAAAAGAAUCAGGCUCUGAAUUAUUGUACAAUUAGCUUGUGAAGGAAAUCAAAAAUGCAUGUGUGCAUAAAUAUAGGGAUUGGGAAUUUAAUGUAAUGGUUUUUAGUCAUCUCCCAGAGUUAUUUUUCUGGGCAUAUGCUAGAAGAUUUUCAAUGAAGGCUCCAGAAGCAGCCUGCUCCUCUUUCAGACAAGUCUUCUAGACUGUGUUUUUGAUUUUCCAGUCUAUGAUAUUUUGCCUCAACUCUAAUGUCAUCCCAGAACAUUCUUCAGCUCUCUCUUUCCUCAUUGGUAAGCUCCUCCUAGGAACUUUUGAGGAGAGGCCCAAGCUGGUCGAACAUCACUUCCCUCUUACUCAUUCUUCUGACUCUGGAUUUCAACAAACAUGCUCCUAUCUACUCUCAUUCCCUCUUUUGCCUGUUGUCCUUCCCAUUAGAUUAUAAGUUUCUUGAGGGCAGGAAUUGUUUUUCUUUUUUCUUAUAUAUUUAGUUCAGCCAUGACACUUGUUUCUAAAAAUGUGAAUUUGUUCUGACAUAAUUGAUAUAUGGGAAAUUUUGAGCAUAUUAGAAAUUUUAAGCUUUUCUAUAAAUGAUUUCUUUCUCAAGAAAUAUUGGAAAUGCAGGAAAUUGUACCAUUUCAUAACUCACAAGCUACUAUCCUUUCAAGCAAUUCUAUCUGAGUAUUCUCUCUCCCCCAAAUCUGGUUUCCCAUCUGGUAGGAAUUAAAAGUAUCCAAAUGGGACAUUCAUAAACACAACCACAAGCAAAUUUCAGGUCUUUUUCAAGAUAAUUUGUCCUUUAUUCUAUAUCUUCUGCUAUAAAAGAAGUUAUGAAUAGAAAGGAGAAGGACUGGUCCACUUCCCACCCCAUUUCCAACAUGGCCUCCAACCCUUCAGGGAGUUGUGGCCAGCCCAACUUUUGAGACUUUAUUAGUUCAGCUGAUUAGCCUAAGACUUAAGCUGUCACUAUUUAUUACAGUAUUUAUGUAUUUCUUUUCCAUUCCUUAUUAGGUUCCUAUUUUGGGGGGAAGGAGGUGGUCACUGAUGAAUUUUUGUAUGCUGUGUCCCUUUUCCCAUCUUUUCCAUAUCGAAAUCCUGUGAUUUUUAUUUUGAGAUUUUACAUAGUUCCAUGCUUUUUUGAAAAUUAAAAAAAUCCAGAACUGACUGUAUUUGUAUCCCUGACCUAACUUAGCACAGUGCUUGGCACUUAAUAGACAUUGAAUAAAUACUCAUUGACUUGUUUUUUGCUUUGCUGUAACAGUUUGGGAAGAUUUUCCUUGUGUCCAAUCUAUAUCUGAGUCUGCAGUUUCCUCCCACCGAUCCCAACUCUGUUUCCUGGGACCAAGUAGAACAAAUCUAAUCUCUUUUUCACAAAUACUUGAAGACAGCUACCACGUCAGCCCUAAGCCUUCUCUUUGCCAAACUAAGCACCCCUGGAGAUCUAGUCCUCGAGAUUUAGCGAAAGAGCCAUAUGCCCAUGAGCAAAGGCAAAUAUUUUCAUGAAGCCAUCAGACCAGGUCAUGUGGCUUCCAAUCAACCACUCAACAAAUAUUUAUUAAUUACUUGCUUUUUACCUGGUUUUGUGCUAAGUGCUGGUGUUGUGAUACCAACAGAGUAAAGGAGGGGUGAGUUAAGUCCCCAGAUUCCCAUUACACCAGAAUGGUCUGUUAUAUGCAGAGAGCUGUUGGAACAGUCUAGGCCAGUCUGAGUUAACUUUGUCUUUGGGUGGCUCUAUCAGUUGUGGGACCUUUGGGCAAUUUAAAUGAGAAAACUUUUUUUUAGGACUUUGGUAGGUAGUUCCUGACACUCUAGAUAUGUUAUCUAUGACUUAAGAGAGAGAGAGAGAGAGAGAGAGAGAGAGAGCGCUCCUGAGGCUGCUUCUGAGGAUAUUUGGAAUAUAUUUUGGUGUAAAGUGUGGGUGGUACUCAUGUAAGUUAUGCAUGUUCACAUGGGUCUGUCAAGAUGGGGUUCACAAAGAAGCAGAACCAGGAGAUCAUUAUACACGGCAACAUCAAUAUUAUACAAUGAUCAAUCCUGAAGAACGUGACUCUUUCCAACAAUGAGAUGAUUGAUACCAGUUCCAAUGAUUUUGUGACAAAGAGACCCAGAGAGAGGGCUGUGGGAACUGAAUAUGGAUCACAAUAUAGCAUUCUCACUCUUUCUGUUGUUGUUCCUUUCAUUUUGUUUUCUUACUUAUUUACUUUCCCUUUGGAUUUGAUUUUUCUUGUGCAAUAAGAGAAUUGUAGGAAUGUUUACACAUAAUGAAUUAAGGUUGGCAAAGGAGGGUUUAUUGACCGGGAGAGGUUCUCAGUGGGUUAGGAUCAGGAAGAUAGCAGACCUCUGAGAGACAGAGUUCAAUUGUGUUUGGUCUCCUGUAGCCCAGGGCCAGGGAGCAAUCUCCAGAUGAAACAGGGGUGGUGGUCUAGGGAGUAAUUUCCAGAUGAAUUAAGGGUGGUGAGUAUUUUAGGAGUUUCCUGAGGCUGAGUGAUCUCAUAGUGAAGUAAGAGUGUGCGUGGGGGGAGGGGGGGGGUGAGCCAGAAUCAGAAAAUUCAGGGUUUUCUGAUCCAGGUCCCCCACAAAGAUCAGGGGACCAAAGAGUCCAAUUGCAUCACCACCUCUUGAAGUUAGAAGCCAGGAAAAAAGGUGUCUCUUGUCCCAAGCUCUAUCAAUCUGCCUCUCACACAGGCAUGAAUAUUAUUAAUGAUUAUGAUAAUAUUUAUAUAUUCCUUUAAAAUCUGAAUGAUCAAUAUUUACCAGUUUGAACAGUGUAAUGCCUUUGAGAGUCCUGAGUUACAUUCUUCCUCUAGGUCAAAACUUUUUCAUUCUUUGAAAAAAAUCAGCCAAAGCAGGCUUGAAACUUUUAACUCUACUAUAGGUAAAGUUACAAACACAGAUAUCAUCACUUUAACAUAACAAAGGUUACAUUCCCGGCAUCCUCUAUAAAUAGACAAAUGAAUGUUAACAGUAACUGCAUCUGAGUACUGAGGUGACCACAUGCUUAACAACAAUAAAAUGACAAAACAGAUACAUAUUUCAAAAGGACAUGGAUAUCCAUAGCACACAGCAAUCAACCAAAAAGCAAAGAAAAGUAUGGUUAACUAAGACAAAGCUAGUUAGUUGCAACAGUAAUACUAUCAAUAAGUCUACCUAUAACUUAAUCAAGAGCUUUUGCAUAUUUGCAAAACAAUUAUCAGACAUUCCUAUAGCUUGGACAUAAAACAAAACAACCAAAUGAACAUAAUAGCAAAAUAAGAACUAAGUAUCCUCAACACAAAGUCUUCUGAUAAAAAAAAAAAAUGUUAGUUUGUAUCUUUGGUUUCUGAGUGAUCUAUUGUUAUUAUUGUUGUUCUUCAAUCAUUUCAGUCAUUAGCCAACUCUUUGUGAUCCUCAUUUGGGGUUUUCUUGGCAGAGACACUGGAGUGGUUGGCCAUUUUCUUCUGCAGAUCAUUUUGUUUAUUAUUUUUUAUAAUUUUAUAUUUCAAAUUUUUUAUAAUUUUAUAAUUUAUUUUAUAUAAUUUAUAUAUAUUUAUAUUUAUUUUAUAUAAUUUAUUUUUCAAAAUACAUGCAAAAUGUAUAAAAGAAUUGCACAUUAUUUGCUGUCUAGGGGAAGGGGUGGGAGCAAGGAAGGGAGAAAAACGCGGAACACGUUUUGCAAGGAUGAAUGUUGAAAACUAUCUUUGCAUGUAUUUUUUUUUAAUAAUAGCUUUUUAUUUUCAAAAUAUAGACUUUGUGUUCCAAAUUUUUCUCUCUCCUUCCCCACCUCCCACCUCCCCUAGACAACAAGUAAUCCAAUAUAGGUUAAACAUUUACAAUUCUUCUAAACAUUUCCACUUUUAUCACGUGCAGCUCAUUUUACAGAUGAGGAAACUGAGGGUUAAAUGACUUGUUCAGGGUCACAAACAAGUAAGUGUUUGAGGCUGGAUUUCCUGGAAGGAAGCCUAGUGAGCAGGAAGAAUUGCCAUGAAAAUGGGAAAGAGCCAGGGAGAUGUCAGCGCCCUGGGGCAAGAUCAGGCAGGGGAGGAAUGAUCCUGGGUGCCCUUGACCCACUAUAUAAAGCCAGGAGCUCUAAUUCUUUUUUCUCCUUAUUCCCCUGGUCCUGCUUGGACUUCGGAAGGAGAGCAGGGAAAAUGGAGAGUUUGGAGGAUGUUUCUGCACACUCCUGUCUUCACGGCUGGCACAGUGCCCAACACAGAUGAUUAUUGGUUCCCUUCCUAGCUCUGGAGAUGAAACCCUAUGUUUAUCAUGCAACAUGGGAGCGGGUCCCAUUAGCAGAGCCAUUGACCUCAUGUACUGGUUAUUAGCCCUCACCAUCUCCAGUCAGCCUUUGCCUGUACACGCUUAUGUUCAGGAGCUCUGCCCUCACCCUCCCAGCUUCCUGGGGCUAAAAUGAAGGAGCCAGCCACAGCACUUGAAAAUGUGGAUCCAUUUUUCUCAGCCCCGGGUCGGUGGAGAAGCUAAUUUCCCUGCUGGGUGUCAGGGACUGGGGCUCAGACACCAUGCAUGCAGCCUUCCAUCACAGAAAGGCCUCUGAGCUUCACCUGGUGGGGAGAAAGAGAGAAAGGGUGGGAGCCAUCAGGCAGAGCAGCAGAAGCCCAUCCUGUCCUUGGGAUGGUGAUGAGGCAGAGAGAGCACACAGGAGAAGCUGCAGUUCUGGCCACAGCAGGAGAGUGGAGAGGCUGUGUUCUGUGGAAAUAUGGAGGUGAGAGAGCUCUAGUCCAUUAGCCAGACCUGCUUUCCCUUUUCCCACGGGAAUAGAAACUACUGGAUAAAAGCUUGGCAGGUCCUGACCUCUCUCUGGCCCCAGUUCACCUCAGGUCCCAGAGCAAAAGACUUGGUUAUCUGCUUUGUUAGUCAAUAAAUGCUCACUUAUAUGCUUGCUGUAUACCAGGCUGGUUAUCCUCAUGAAAGGCAAACACAGGCCUUCCCCUCAAAGAGUUAAUAAUCCAAUGGACACCUUGUUAGGACUUCCCUAUUUCAACCCUUCAGAGUUAUAAUUUUCCUCAUCAUUAAUGAUAACAAAAAGCAUUUAUUAAGUGCCUGUUGUAUGCCUGCUGAUCACCCCAGGGAUAUAAAUCAUAAUCUUUGAAGAGAACUACUUAAAAAGUGGAAUUGGUCAAAUGAAAAGGAGAUAAGAAAGCUCUCUGAAAAAAGUAAUACCUUAAAAGUUAGAAGUAGGCAAGUGAUAGCUAAUGACUUCCAUGAGACAUUAAGAAAAAAAUAAAAAUAAUGAAAAAAAUAGAAGAAAAUGUAAACUAUCUCAUUGGGAAAACAACUGACCUGAAAAAUAGAUUAGAAGACGGGUAAUUUAAAAAUCAUUGGACUAUCUGAAAGCCAUGAUUUUUUAAAAAAGCAAAAGAGCCUAGACAUUAUCUUGCAAUAAAAUAUCAAGAAAAACUGCCUUCAUAUCCUAGAACCAGAGGGUAAAAUAGAAAUGGAAAGAAUCCACUGAUCACCUUUUGAAAAAGAUCCUUAAAUGAAAACUCCCAGGAAUAUUAUAACCACAUUUUAGAACUCCCUGGUCAAGGAGAAAAUAUUGCUGUAGUUAGAAAGAAUACUAUUAUGCUGUUGAAAAUGAUGAAGGAAAUGGUUUCAGAAAAAAGUUGGGAAGACUUGUAUGAACUGUACAAAAUGAAUUGGGCAAAGCCAGAGGGAAAUUGUACACAGUAUCAGCAAUAUUGUAAUGAUGAUUGUCUAUAAAAGAUUUUCAAGACAAUUUUCCAAGACAAUUUCAAAGGGUCAACCUUCAGAGAAAGAACUGAUAAAUUCUGAUUGCAUUUUGAAGCACACUUUUGAAAAAGCAUUAAAUUUUUUUUUUCAUCUGUGUAUGUGUGUUUUCUUUUGGAACAUGGCUAAAAUGAAAAUAAAAUUUGCAUGAUUUCACAUAUUUACUCCAUAUAUUCCAUGCCUUCUCCAGGGAUAGGGAAGGGACAGGGAGAGAGAGAGAAUGUGAAACUCGGAAUAAAAAAAGAAUGUAGAAAAAAUUACAUGUAUUUGGGAAAUAUUUAACAAAACAAAUUAUACAUAUAUACAUAUAUGUAACACAUACACAUUCAUACAUAUUACAUAUAUUUAUAUAUACCUAUACACACCUCCACAUAUUACAUAUACAGAUACACAUAAAUGUUACAUCUCUUCACAUAUACAUAUACAUUUAUAUGUACACAAACACACAUAUGUACAUAUACAUAAACCGUACAUUACAUAUGCUUAUACAUACAUAUACACAUAUUGCAUAUACAUAUAUAUCCACACAUACAUAUUAUAUAUCCACACAAAUAUACUCAUAUUACAUAUAUUUAUAUAUAUGAAUACAAAUACAUAUAUACAUAUACAUAUAUAAGUGUGUGUCUGUAGUCUGGUUAUCUCCUCUUCAAAAAUGUUCCCGAGUUCUAGAUCAGAGGCCAAAAUGAUUCAGGCUUCUUGGAAGAUAGAUCAGAAGUCAGUCAAUCAAUCAGCAAACAUUAAGUGCCCACAAUAUGUAAAAUAUUGUGUUGGUCCCUGAGAUUUUUUUUACCUUUUUAUAUCUUCAGAGGUUAACAAGGUACCUUAGCAUAGUAAGAGCUUGAGAAAUGUUUCUUGAUUGCUAACUGAAUGGAACCUAUAUGUUAUGAGAAGAGACACAUGUACGCACAGAUAAUUAUACAUGAAAUAGAGAGAUAAAUAUAAAUAUAGAAAGACAAAGAGACAGAAAUGGAGGGGGAUGUAAAUAUACAUAAGAAAUAUGUAUAUUUCUUAGAACGAAAUAGAAAUAUAGAGACUGAUUUUUUUUUAAUUUUAAAAAAAAUGUAUUAUAAUAACUUUUUAUUGACAGAGCCCAUGCCAGGGUAAUUUUUUACAGCAUUAUCCCUUGCACUCACUUCUGUUCCGACUUUUCCCCUCCCUCCCUCCACCCCCUCCCCUAGAUGGCAAGCAGUCCUAUAUAUGUUAAAUAUGUAGCCGUAUAUCCUAGAUACAAUGUAUGUGUGCAGAACCGAGACUGUGAUUUUCUUGAUGAUAAUUCCUAUGACCAAGGAAGGCAGUUUGGCAUCUUGUAAUUUAUAGAACUGCAUAAAUCACUAAGAAGUUAAAUGACCUGGGUAGGGUCACACAGCUGUGGUGUCAGAAGCAGGAUGUGAAACUAGGUCUCACUGGCUCCAACAUUAGACCCAUAAUGCCAUGCUGCCUCGUACGCUGAGCAACUGUACAUGAAUAUUGGCAACACUGAUGUCAAUAGGAGGUAGUCUGAGGAGCUUAUUGAGUGGAAGAGCCACACAGACCCCGGUUUUAGGAAAAUCACUUUGGCAGUUGAGUUCUAGAGGUACCCUGGAGAAGGUUCUCUGCCCUCGAGGGAGGUAGCCAAGGUCAUCCGUGAAGUCACGGAGGGCUGGAUCGGGGGUCAGCUGCGGGUUCUCGGUGGCCCCUGCUUGCCCAGGCCCAGGCCCCGCGACCUAUCUGAGCUCCUGGCAGCCAGGCCUGGGCUCUGGGGGCAGAGGAGAAAGGUUUCGGCGUCCUCCUGGGCGCACUGAUGGAAAAGCUUUUCCCACCUCUAGCCCUGGGGUCGCGGGCAAAGUGCCCGAGCCAGUGAAGGGUAAAAUGCCAGUUAGCACAAAAGGCAGCGUCUCCUGUGCCCCGCCAAGUACAAUAAACACGCGAAGAGCUCAGCCGGGCGGCCGGCCGCCGUCUGGGGCCGAGAGGGAAAAUGUGAAAAGUCACGUCACAGGCCGCGCGGGCUGAGGAGCUUGCCGGGAACUUCGGGGAGUCGCCGCGGAGGGGGCGAGCCGCGCCCAGAAGGGAAGGCUCGCGCAGGGAACUUCCCGCCCCGCUGGGGAGUCAGUUAGCAAGAGUUUCCUGAGAGCUUCCGGCUGCACGGGCACCUGGGCUGGGGGCCGGGACCCCGGGGUGCCCAGCUCAGCCCGACCCCCCGCUGGAGCUCUGCCCCAAUGAGCACAGAGGACAAGAGGGUCUCCUGUCACCUCCCCCGCUGCGCCCCACCUCCCCGAGAAAGAGGCGGGGAGGAAGAGACAGAGCCUGGGGGGAGGGAGGGAGGGAGAGAGAGAAGGGGGGGAACACACACAAAGACAGACCGAGGGGGAGAGAGAGAGAGGCAGAAUAGGGAGAGACAAAGUCAGAGGGAAAACGGAGAGCAGAAGAAAGAGGGAGGGAAAGGGAGGAAGAGAGAAAGAGGGAAAGGAAGGGAGAGAGAAAAGAGCAGAGAGAGGGAGAGAGAGGAAGAAAAGGAGGAGGAGGAGAGAGAGAGAGAGAGACAAUUCAGUGUUCCUUCUUUUUUCCCAUCUCAGACACUGUCUCUCCUGUGACCCCAUCCCUGAUUUAGACACAUUGGUUUGAUAAGGACAAGACAACACAGUUGUUAUCUUUAAAAACUUACACUCUUAGUUACACUUAGGCAGGUUAGGUGGAACCAUGGAUGAAGUAUUAGGCGUCAGGAAACUCUAAGUUAAAAUCUGACCUCAGGCAGAUGUGUGACUCGGGGAAAGUCAAUUAACUAUUGCCUGCCUCAGUUUCCUCAUCUGUAAAAUGGGGAUAAUCGUAAUAGCACCUAUCUCACUGAGGUAUUGUGGAUCAAAUAAAGUAACAGUUGUAAAGCAUUUAGCACAAAAUGUUAGCUGUUAUUAUUAAUUAAGAGGCAGAAAGAUGACAUGGUAAAGAGAGAAGAGGAUUUAGAGCUCAACUCUAGCCUCACUUACUAGCUUAUUGAUAUUGAGCAAAUUAUGUGACUUCUGACUGCUUCAGUUUCCUCGCCUGUGAAAUGGAAUUGAUAAUAGUAGGAUCUACCUCACUGGUUGUUUGAGGAACAGCAAAGAAGUCAGUGUCGGUGGAUCAAAAAAGCUAAGGCAUAACUGUCACAGCAGAAGGGCGACAGGUGGUAAAGGGCCUUGAAUACCAAACGUGAUUUCAUAGCUGAGUAGGAGAUAAUUGAAGUGGAGAGAAAAUUGAGACAGAGAGACUUACUGCAAGAAUUAGGUAUGAAGUGAUGAGUGAUGAAGUGAAAUGAUGAACCUGUACCAGGUCAGUGUCAGAAAGAGAAGGGGGCUUAACAUGUUAAAAAGGGAAUUUUGGCCAGAUUUGGCUACAGAUUGGGCAGUAUGGUGUUGGUGAGAGGCAGUGAGGAGUCAAGGAUGACCCCCAAGUUGGGAGUCUGAGUAACAGAGAACAUGGAUCCUGGACAAAAUAGGGAAGUUUUGGAGUAGGGUAGAGUUUUGAGGGAAAGACAUGGAGUUGGACAUGUUGAGCUUAAGAGAUCGAGGGUACGUGCAGUUCAAGGUGUCCAAUAGGCAGAGAGGUGAGUCUGAAGGUUAUGGGAGAAGUUAGAUCUGGAAUAAGUUGAAUCUAUGAGAGAUAAGAUCACCAAGUGAAGGAGAAAAGAGUUUAAGACAGAACCCUGGGGGACACUUACUUUUAAAGAUGGUCAGUGGCUCUCUGUUGUUAUUUGCUUGCAUUUUAUUUUCUUUCUCAGUUUUUCUUUUCCUUCCUUCUUGAGCUGAUUUUUCUUGUGCAGCAAGAUAACUGUAUAAAUAUAUAAACAUAUGUUGGAUUUAACAUGUAUUUCACCAUAUGUAACAUGUUUUGGGCUACCUGCCAGCUAGGGGAGGAGGUGGGGGAAGGUGGGAAAAAUUUGAAACAAAAAGGUUUGCAAGGGUCAGUGUUGGAAAAAUUAUCCAUGCAUAUGUUUUGUAAAUAAAUAAAUAUUUUUAAGAAGAGAGAAAAAAAAAUAAAGAUGGUCAGUGGAAUAGUGAGUUAAUUAUAAAGUUGUUGAAGGAUUGCCUUGCCGCCAUAAGAACCCAGUUGAAAUUAUGUAACAUAAAAAACUGGUAUCGAACCCAAUCAGCCCAGUUUCAUGAUUUUCUCCAAUUUCAUUCAGUAGCAAGUAAGUAGAAAUAAAGGCAGUAGAUAGUGGAAAUGUACCAAGACUGACGUUUUGACGGGGCCAAAUCAGCAAUAGGUUAAGAGGACAUGAAGCUCAUGAGAAGUGGACAGUGUAAAAUUGAACUAGCUCAUCAAGGUAUGAAGGUGGGGAUAGAGAGAGGAGGGUGGUCAGUGGUCAGUCCAGUGGUGAUGGACUGAGAAAGAACUGAAAGGUCAAGGGUUUGGAGGUCACAAUGAGGAAGAACAGAAUUGAAAGUUGUUUAACAGAGGUCAAAUGAAAAUAGCUUAUGAUCAGAUAAGGGAAUUCCUGAGUUCAUGAUCAUGCAAAUGGAGCAUUUGUGAGUGGUGACAAGAUCAUUUCUGUGUGUAUCUGAGGUGGGCUGGAGGAGCAGGUCAUAGGAAAUGAGGAAGUUGAGGGCCUGGAAAGCCCCUAAUGGCUAUUUGAGGGACACACAUUUUUUUAAAAGUUAUUUAAUAUGAAGGCAAGAAUUGGGGAGAAAACUGUGGACCAGACACUGAAUUCAAUGAGAAAAAAAAAAAAAGGAAUGUCCCAAAGGAUGGCAUCUUAAUUGGGUAUUAAUUGGGUAGUACCCAUUAAUUGAAUGAAUGGGUCGUUCAUUCAGUCAUAUAGAUUGAAUGAACCUCAAAGAAGGAAAAGUGGUAGAGGGUAGUAGAGGGAGAGCAGAGUCUGGAAGGGACCAUAUAAAACAAGGAAUAUUUCAAGUCCAUCACUUCUACCAAUGAGUCAAGGAAGGCGUGACAAUGUCAGUAGCAUAGGAAAGGGCAGUCCAGAGGUCUGUGUCAUCAGGAGCAAGUCAAGUCUCCAUGAUCUAGUGUCAGCAAGACUUGAGUUUGAAUUGUGCCUCAGUCACUAGCUGUGUGAGUCACUGAAUCCCUUUCAGUCUCAUCUAGAAAAUGGGGAUAAUAAAAGCACCUAUUUUAUAGGGUUGUUGUAAAGCUCAAGUGAGUUACUAUAUGGGAGAAGCUAGGUAAAUCUUAAAGUGCUCUUUAAAUGUGAGAUAUUAUUAUUAUUAAUUAGGGAGAAAAAAGUUUAAAAAUGCUGGAAACAAUUUGAGGGCCCAAGCUGGGGGCAAUGAAAUGUUAGCCCUGGUUGUAACUCAGGCUAACUACUUGAAGACAGUUAUUUGAAAGGGCAUUUUGUUCUGCUUGGUCACAACUAGGAUCAGCUGUAGAAGUUUCAGAGAGGAAAUCCACCAAGCCCUGGGGCAAGUCCAGAAGCGGACAUUGCCUCUGAAGGAAGGCCUUCCCCUUUUUCCUGGUUCCAAGUGUCAUUCAGGCUGGAGAGGAACAGGCUGCUUAGGGAAAGAUGGGGUUAGAUGGCUUCUGAGGUCUCUUCUUAAGUCGAGAUUCUCUGAUUCUUUGAGAUGGUUCUAUUUACCUUGACCCACUACACCCCACAACUAGCUAGGGAGCCAGGAGUGACAAUCACUUGGCACAAAAACAGACUUUCCAAUGCUAGCCUAUGGAAGUGACCCUGUUUUUGGCAAAUCUUUCUUAUGGGUCCCCUCCUUUUUUUUUUUUUUUUUUUUUUUUUAAACUUUGUUUUAUAUUUUUCUUAAUGGCAUGUUAUUUUUCAGGAUAGUUAGAUGGUAUAAUAAAGCUCCAGCCCUGAAUUCAGGACCUGAGUUCAAAAGCCGACUUCAGACACUUAAUGUUUCCUAGCUGUGUGAUCCUGGGCAAGUCACUAAAUCCCAAUUGCCUCAAAAACAAACAAACAAAUGGUAUUUUAUUUUUCCAAUUAUAUUUAAAGAUAGUUUUCAACAUUCAUUUUUGUAAGAUUUUGAGUUCCAAAUUUUCUUUUCUCCCUCCUUUGCCUUCCCCCUCCCCAAGACAGCAAGUAAUCUCAUUUUAACCAUAUUUCCAUAUUAGUCAGUUGUGAAAGAAAAGUCAGAACAAAAGGGAAAAACCACAAGAAAAGCAAACAAACAAACAAAAAUAGGUGAAAUAGUAUGCUUCAAUCUGCUUUCAGUCUCCAUAGUUCUCUCUCUGGAUGCAGAUGGCAUUUUCCAUCCCAAGUUUAUUGGAAUUAUUUUGGAUCAGCUGAGAAGAGCUGGAUCCCUUCCUGUCUUAAUCUCACUGUCACAAUUCUACUCUAGUUCCUUAGCAUUUCUUAAUUAUUUUUUGUGUCUGUUCCCUUCGAACUGCACAUGUUGUUAAACUCAGGCUGGUCCAAUGGUUUAGACUUGGAAACAGAAUGAAAUGACAUAGUAUUAGAUCACGUAACAUUUAACAAAAAAGACUUAAUCACAUGAAAAGAAUAUUCUUGGAAUGAUAGAUCUUAGAGGUAUUCAAAAGCAUCAUUUUAUAUAUUUCAAAACUGAGCCACACAGAAAUUAUUUGACUUGACCAGGAUCACACAGCUAAGUUUCUUAGGCAAGAUUCAAAGUUUGUCUUCCUCUCUCUGGGCCUAUUACUGGGUCCAGUACACUACACUGCCUGGAUAGAGUAUUGAUUCAAGUGAUUAUAUUCCUCUUGCCUUUGCAAAAAGGGUGAGUUGAGACUGAAGAGCCCAGAUUCUCUCACACUGAUGUCUUAGGCACCCAGGAAAUUGUGUUAUUGAUUUCAUCCAUAGUCUCCUGGAUUAAUUUCAUUUCAGGAUAGUUUUGUUGCUUUUUCUUUUCUUUUCUCUUCUUUUCUUUUUUCUCUUCUUUUU
ensembl:lncRNA